rnacentral:rRNA from 1 species
UACGUAGGUGGCAAGCGUUGUCCGGAUUUACUGGGCGUAAAGAGCGCGCAGGCGGUCGCUCAAGUCGCGUGUGAAAGCCCCCGGCUCAACUGGGGAGGGUCACGCGAUACUGAUCGACUGGAAGGCAGGAGAGGGUAGUGAAAUUCCCGGUGUAGUGGUGAAAUGCGUAGAUAUCGGGAGGAACACCAGUGGCGAAGGCGACUACCUGGCCUGUUCUUGACGCUGAGGCGCGAAAGCUAGGGGAGCAAACGGG